GUAGGGGGCAAGCGUUAUCCGGAUUUACUGGGUGUAAAGGGAGCGUAGACGGUUUUGCAAGUCUGAAGUGAAAGCCCGGGGCUCAACCCCGGGACUGCAUUGGAAACUGUUCAUCUAGAGUGCUGGAGAGGUAAGUGGAAUUCCUAGUGUAGCGGUGAAAUGCGUAGAUAUUAGGAGGAACACCAGUGGCGAAGGCGGCUUACUGGACGGUAACUGACGUUGAGGCUCGAAAGCGUGGGGAGCAAAUAGGAUUAGAUACCCUGGUAGUCCACGCCGUAAACGAUGACUACUAGGUGUCGGGCAGCAAAGCUGUUCGGUGCCGCAGCAAACGCAAUAAGUAGUCCACCUGGGGAGUACGUUCGCAAGAAUGAAACUCAA
rnacentral:rRNA from 1 species